rnacentral:rRNA from 1 species
CUACGGGUCGCACCAGUUAGGUAUAAUCUACAAUGCACGCAAGUGUGAUAGUUUGAGCCAGAGUGCGUAUCUAUUGAUAUGCUUUUGGAAAAUGUAAAAAGUUUUCCGAAUAAGGACUGGGUAAGACAGGUGCCAGCCGCCGCGGUAAUACCUGCGGUCCAAGUCGCAGCCAUUUUUAUUGGGUCUAAAACAUCCGUAGCUUGUUUUGUAAGUUUCUUGUGAAAUCUGAUAUCUCAAGUAUUGGGCGUGCAAGAAGUACUGCAGAACUAGAGACAGGGAGACGUAAAGAGUACGUUUGAAGUAACGGUAAAAUGUUUUAAUCUCAGACGGACUAACAACAGCGAAGGCACUUUACGAGAACUGUUCUGACAGUAAGGGAUGAAGGCUAGGGGCGCAAAACGGAUUAGAUACCCCUGUAGUC